rnacentral:rRNA from 1 species
UACGGAGGGAGCUAGCGUUGUUCGGAAUUACUGGGCGUAAAGCGCACGUAGGCGGCUUUGUAAGUUAGAGGUGAAAGCCCGGAGCUCAACUCCGGAAUUGCCUUUAAGACUGCAUCGCUUGAAUCCGGGAGAGGUGAGUGGAAUUCCGAGUGUGGAGGUGAAAUUCGUAGAUAUUCGGAAGAACACCAGUGGCGAAGGCGGCUCACUGGACCGGUAUUGACGCUGAGGUGCGAAAGCGUGGGGAGCAAACAGG